UGGGUUUGUUCUAAGUAAAGCUUCUUCAAGUUUAACCAGGCUUAUAGAAAAAUGCUGCAAAAUUUUCAACACAAAACAAAUAUACUUAAAAGUAUAUUCGAUGGUGGAUUUAAUGAAACUAAUUUGGUGUUGUAGAUGUUGCUAUGCUUUUCUAUAAACUUGGUAAAACUUGAAGAAAUUUGACUUAGGACAAACCUAA
rnacentral:pre_miRNA from 1 species